CUACGGGAGGCAGCAGUGGGGAAUCUUAGACAAUGGGGGAAACCCUGAUCUAGCCAUGCCGCGUGAGUGAUGAAGGCCCUAGGGUCGUAAAGCUCUUUCGCCAGGGAUGAUAAUGACAGUACCUGGUAAAGAAACCCCGGCUAACUCCGUGCCAGCAGCCGCGGUAAUACGGAGGGGGUUAGCGUUGUUCGGAAUUACUGGGCGUAAAGCGCGCGUAGGCGGAUUAGAAAGUUGGGGGUGAAAUCCCGGGGCUCAACCCCGGAACUGCCUCCAAAACUACUAGUCUAGAGUUCGAGAGAGGUGAGUGGAAUUCCGAGUGUAGAGGUGAAAUUCGUAGAUAUUCGGAGGAACACCAGUGGCGAAGGCGGCUCACUGGCUCGAUACUGACGCUGAGGUGCGAAAGUGUGGGGAGCAAACAGGAUUAGAUACCCUGGUAGUCCACACCGUAAACGAUGAAUGCCAGUCGUCGGAUAGUAUACUAUUCGGUGACACACCUAACGGAUUAAGCAUUCCGCCUGGGGAGUACGGUCGCAAGAUUAAAACUCAAAG
rnacentral:rRNA from 1 species